rnacentral:tRNA from 1 species
GGCACGUUACCAAAGCGGCCAAAUGGAUCUGACUGUAAAUCAGACGCUUCGUGCUUCGGGGGUUCGAAUCCCUCACCUGCCACCA